rnacentral:rRNA from 1 species
CAGUCGCCGAGGUAAUACGGAGGGUGCAAGCGUUAAUCGGAAUUACUGGGCGUAAAGCGCACGCAGGCGGUCUGACAAGUCAGAUGUGAAAUCCCCGGGCUUAACCUGGGAACUGCAUUUGAAACUGUCAGGCUGGAGUCUUGUAGAGGGGGGUGGAAUUCCAGGUGUAGCGGUGAAAUGCGUAGAGAUCUGGAGGAAUACCGGUGGCGAAGGCGGCCCCCUGGACAAAGACUGACGCUCAGGUGCGAAAGCGUGGGGAGCAAACAGGAUUAGAUACCCGGGUAGUCCCUGUCUCUUAUAC